GGAUGUAAAAGCAAUCUGACGGUGACAUCUGUCACCCCUUUGAUCUUCACAGUUGAUUAAGCUGUUCUGGCUAGCUGGGUGUGUGGUAUUCCCAAAUCUAUGUGCUCAUUACAGGAGAAAAACUUCCAAUAUAGAUGCGAACCAUUCUUUGGUAUAUGAAUAGCCAUGUUCCCCUGAUAGAGCCGCCAAACAAGAUCUCAAGAAAUAGUAAACCGAGCUGGAGAGACGGCUCACUGAUUAAGAGCAUCUACUGCUCUUAGAGAAGACCUGGGUUUGAU
rnacentral:snRNA from 1 species